rnacentral:rRNA from 1 species
UACGGGGGGUGCGAGCGUUGUCCGGAAUCACUGGGCGUAAAGGGCGCGUAGGUGGCGCGGGCAGUCAACGGUGAAAGUUCGGGGCUCAACCCUGAAUCGGCCGUCGAUACUCCCGUGCUUGAGCACUGUAGAGGCAGAUGGAAUUCCGGGUGUAGCGGUGGAAUGCGUAGAGAUCCGGAAGAACACCGGUGGCGAAGGCGGUCUGCUGGGCAGUAGCUGACACUGAGGCGCGACAGCGUGGGGAGCAAACAGG